rnacentral:tRNA from 1 species
GCCGAGAUAGCUCAGUUGGCAGAGCACAUCCAUGGUAAGGAUGGGGUCGCGGGUUCAACUCCCGCUCUCGGCUCCA